AACGAACGCUGGCGGCGCGCCUAAUACAUGCAAGUCGAGCGAGAAGACGUAGCAAUACGUUUGUAAAGCGGCGAACGGGUGAGGAAUACAUGGGUAACCUACCCUCGAGUGGGGAAUAACUAGCCGAAAGGUUAGCUAAUACCGCGUACGCUCCUUGGACUUCGGUUCAGGGAGGAAAGCGAUACCGUGGGUAUCGCGCUCUUGGAUGGGCUCAUGUCCUAUCAGCUUGUUGGUGAGGUAACGGCUCACCAAGGCUUCGACGGGUAGCUGGUCUGAGAGGACGAUCAGCCACACUGGCACUGCGACACGGGCCAGACUCCUACGGGAGGCAGCAGUAAGGAAUAUUGCGCAAUGGGCGAAAGCCUGACGCAGCGACGCCGCGUGGGGGAUGAAGGUCUUCGGAUUGU
rnacentral:rRNA from 1 species